GGCUGGUCCGAGUGCAGUGGUGUUGACAACUAAUUUUUCGUAACCAGUUACAGCUUUCUUUGUUCCUUCUCCACUCCCGCUAGCCUUAA
ensembl:misc_RNA Y_RNA Y RNA